rnacentral:lncRNA from 1 species
AAGAGGGCUCGCUAGGACAUCGCAUCCUAUGCCUACGUAUCUCGUCUGGAACGAGAAUCAGAGCUGCCGUAGUUCGGCUCAUGCACGCCAAACAAGACACACACAAACACAGGCAAACCUGGAACCCGAAUGCCAAUCGCUGGACUUACAUCGGCUUCCGAACCAAACAAACACACUCAGGAUACGGACAGCCAAUCGCUGGGCUUACAUCCAUAUCCUGACACACAAGAAGAAAC